rnacentral:rRNA from 1 species
GCCAUCAUUCAGUUGGGCACUCUAAGGGGACUGCCGGUGAUAAGCCGAGAGGAAGGUGGGGAUGACGUCAAGUCCUCAUGGCCCUUACGGGCUGGGCUACACACGUGCUACAAUGGUGGUGACAGUGGGCAGCGAGACCGCGAGGUCGAGCUAAUCUCCAAAAACCAUCUCAGUUCGGAUUGCACUCUGCAACUCGGGUGCAUGAAGUUGGAAUCGCUAGUAAUCGCAGAUCAGCAUGCUGCGGUGAAUACGUUCCCGGGCCUUGUACACACCGCCCGUCACACCAUGGGAGUUGGUUCUACCCGAAGGCGCUGCGCUAACCGCAAGGAGGCAGGCGACCACGGUAGGGUCAGCGACUGGGGUGAAGUCGUAACAAGGUAGCCGUAGGGGAACCUGCGGCUGGAUCACCUCCUUUCUAAG